UACGUAGGGGGCUAGCGUUGUCCGGAUUUAUUGGGCGUAAAGAGCGUGUAGGCGGCCAGGUAGGUCUGCUGUGAAAACUCGAGGCUCAACCUCGAGACGUCGGCGGAAACCAUCUGGCUAGAGUCCGGAAGAGGCGAGUGGAAUUCCCGGUGUAGCGGUGAAAUGCGUAGAUAUCGUAAGGAAGACCAGUGGCGAAGGCGGGUCUCUGGACAGUUCCUGACGCUGAGGCACGAAGGUCAGGGGAGCAAACGGG
rnacentral:rRNA from 1 species